rnacentral:rRNA from 1 species
UAAUACGGAGGGUGCAAGCGUUAUCCGGAUUUACUGGGUCUAAAGGGUGCGUAGGCGGAUUUGUAAGUCAGUGGUGAAAGCCUGGAGCUUAACUCCGGAAUUGCCAUUGAUACUGCUUUUCUUGAGUACAGUUGAGGUGGGCGGAAUGUGUCAUGUAGCGGUGAAAUGCUUAGAUAUGACACAGAACACCGAUUGCGAAGGCAGCUCGCUAAACUGUAACUGACGCUGAGGCACGAAAGCGUGGGGAUCGAACAGGAUUAGAUACCCUGGUAGUCCACGCCCUAAACGAUGAUCACUCGACAUUGGCGAUAUACUGUCAGUGUCCAAGCGAAAGCGUUAAGUGAUCCACCUGGGGAGUACGACCGCAAGGUUG